rnacentral:misc_RNA from 1 species
CCAAUGGUGGGUUGCUUGCUUCGCUGCCUGCCAAACACCACAAUCAAUAAAACAUAGAAUCCUUGCAAGCAAAUCUUUGCUUUUCUGAUAUGUUUGAACGUGCUAGAGAAAGCGCGUUAUUGCUUUUUUUUUUUUUUCUUCUUCAUAAGGUAAGCGUGAUUCUUGCUUUGUAGCCCAAAAAGAAACAUGCCGUUUUUAGCUUUUGAGUGUUCAGAACAUGGUUUGCUCUGGCUGUUUCUGUUUUAGCAAUCCCAGUUGGGAAUUUUACCUUUAACCGAAUUCUUUGCACUGGAUUUUAAAACUUGAUGAAACCUUAAUUCCUUUAAAAAGACAUUCUUUCAAAUAAGCACGACACUCAAAUACUAACUAGUUGUUUAU